UACGUAGGGUGCGAGCGUUGUCCGGAAUUAUUGGGCGUAAAGGGCUCGUAGGCGGUUUGUCACGUCGGGAGUGAAAACUCAGGGCUCAACCCUGAGCCUGCUUCCGAUACGGGCAGACUAGAGGUAUGCAGGGGAGAACGGAAUUCCUGGUGUAGCGGUGAAAUGCGCAGAUGUCAGGAGGAACACCGGUGGCGAAGGCGGUUCUCUGGGCCGUAACUGACGCUGAGGAGCGAAAGCGUGGGGAGCGAACAGG
rnacentral:rRNA from 1 species